CACCGACUUCGCCCACUGGGACGGCACCGCGUUCCCGAUGCGCUCGCUGGGUUCGUCCGGCGUGUGGGAGCUGUUCCUGCCGGGCGUCGGCGA
rnacentral:tRNA from 1 species